ensembl:snoRNA SNORD116 Small nucleolar RNA SNORD116
GGAUCAAUAAUGACUUCAACAAUGGGUGUCCUUGGAAUCUGAACACAACGAGUGGCAGAAACACUCUGCGACCUGAGGUCC